UUAGCGAUUUUUUAUGCUAAAUAAUUUCUGCCCAGUGGAGUCUAAACGGCCGCGGUAUCUUGACCGUGCAAAGGUAGCAUAAUCAUUUGCCUCUUAAUUGGUGGCUUGUAUGAAAGAAAAAAUAAAGGUAGAGCUGUCUCUAAAACAAAGCAGAAAUUGCUGAUUGUGUGAAGAAGCACAAAUAAAGAAAAAAGACAAGAAGACCCUAUUAAGCUUUACUUUAAACCUUUGGUUUUUAUCUUAUAGAUAAUAAAAACCAAAGGUUCCAAAGUUUGGUUGGGGUGACUAAAAAGGAAAAGAUCCUUUUUUUAUUUUUGUAGUUUGUUUUUAAAAAUGAUCCAAAUUUUUUGAUUGAUUGAACAAGUUACUAUAGGGAUAACAGCGUAAUUUUUUCGGAAAGUUCUUAUUAAUGAAAAAGUUUGCGACCUCGAUGUUGACUUAUUAUGACCUAAUAAGGUGUAGAAGCUGUAAGGGUUGGUCUGUUCGACCAUUAAAAUAAUACGUGAGUUGAGUUCAAACCGGUGUGA
rnacentral:rRNA from 1 species